GACGUAGGGGGCCAGCGUUGCUCGGAAUUACUAGGUGUAAAGGGUUCGUAGGCGGUGUGGCAAGUCGGGAGUGAAAUCUCUGAGCUUAACUCAGGGCCUGCUUCCGAAACUGCUGUGCUAGAGUGUGGGAGAGGCGCGUGGAAUUGCAGGUGUAGCGGUGAAAUGCGUAGAUAUCUGCAGGAACACCCGUGGCGAAAGCGGCGCGCUGGACCACUACUGACGCUGAGGAACGAAAGCUAGGGGAGCAAACAGG
rnacentral:rRNA from 1 species